rnacentral:rRNA from 1 species
UACGAAGGGUGCAAGCGUUACUCGGAAUUACUGGGCGUAAAGCGUGCGUAGGUGGUUCGUUAAGUCUGAUGUGAAAGCCCCGGGCUCAACCUGGGAACUGCGUUUGGUACUGGCAAGCUAGAGUACGGCAGAGGGGGGUGGAAUUCCACGUGUAGCAGUGAAAUGCGUAGAGAUGUGGAGGAACACCGAUGGCGAAGGCAGCCCCCUGGGCCGAUACUGACGCUCAGGCACGAAAGCGUGGGGAGCAAACAGG